rnacentral:rRNA from 1 species
AGAGACAGCAGCAGCCGCGGUAAUACGUAGGGUGCGAGCGUUAAUCGGAAUUACUGGGCGUAAAGCGUGCGCAGGCGGUUUUGUAAGACAGAGGUGAAAUCCCCGGGCUCAACCUGGGAACUGCCUUUGUGACUGCAAGGCUAGAGUACGGCAGAGGGGGAUGGAAUUCCGCGUGUAGCAGUGAAAUGCGUAGAUAUGCGGAGGAACACCGAUGGCGAAGGCAAUCCCCUGGGCCUGUACUGACGCUCAUGCACGAAAGCGUGGGGAGCAAACAGGAUUAGAUACCCCAGUAGUCCCUGUCUCUUAUAC